rnacentral:lncRNA from 1 species
AGCAAUGCAGAGAGAAUUCUGAACCCCCAGUCUUAGACUCUACCCUGUUGAAUGUAGUCAGAUAAUGUUCUUUAUAUAAUACUCUAAAGCAGCUUCGUUGUGGUUAAUGAAGUAGGUAGAUAAAAAUGUUUUAGGAUGUACCAUUUUACGUUUUACCAUCUUUUAGGGUUUUAGUACUCAAAUAAAACUGAUGCAUGUAAAUCACUGUUUUGACAUUUGCAGUUAAUAUUUCAAUAUUGUCAUGCUUAUAUGGGCCCAAAAUGGACAAAAGUUUAGGUUAAUAUGGCAAGUUCCUUUCAUCAAUGGCUUAUAGUUUUCCGAGUACAGGUCUUUUGUCUCUUUAGGUAGGUUUACUCCUAGGUAUUUUAUUCUUUUGGAUGCGAUGGUAAAUGGGAUUGCUUCCCUAAUUUUUCUUUCUGCUCUUUCAUUGUUAGUGUAUAGAAAUGCCAUCUAUUUCUGUGUAUUGAUUUUGCAUCCUGCGACUUUGCCAAAUUGGUGGAUGAGCUCUAACAGUUUUCUGGUAGAGUCUUUAGGAUUCUCUAGAUAUAGUAUCAUGUCAUCUGCAAAUAGGGAUAGUUUUACUUCUUCCUUUCCAAUUUGGAUUCCUUCUACUUCUCUGAUUGCUGUGGCAAGGACUUAAAGAACUAUGUUGAAGAGUAGUGUCGAGAGCGGACAUCCUUGUCUUGUUCCCGAUCUCAGCGGGAAUUCUUUCAGCUUUUCACCAUUGAGAAUGAUGUUCGCUGUGGGUUUGUCAUAUAUGGCCUUUAUUAUGUUGAGGUAGGUUCCUGUUAUGCCCACUUUCUGAAGGGUUUUUAUCAGAAAUGGGUGUUGGAUUUUGUCAAAGGCUUUUUCCACGUCUAUUGAGAGGAUCAUAUGGUUUUUAUUCUUCAGUUGGUUAAUGUGGUGUACCACACUGAUGGAUUUGUGGAUAUUGAAGAAACCUUGCAUCCCUGGGAUAAAUCUCACUUGAUCAUGAUGGACAAUCCUUUUAAUGUAUUGUUGCAUGUGGUUUGCUAGUAUUUGUUGAGGAUUUUUGCAUCGAUGUUCAUCAGUGAUAUUGGCCUGUAGUUUUCUUUUCUUGUGGAAUCUUUGAUUUUUGGUACCAGGGUGAUGAUGGUGGCCUCAUAGAAUGAGUUUGGGAGUAUCCCUUCCUCUGCAAUUUUUUGAAAUAGUUUCAGAAGGAUAGGUGUUAGCUCUUCUCUAAAUGUUUGAUAGAAUUUGCCUGUGAAGCCAUCUGGUCCUGGACUUUUAUUUGUUGAAAGUUUUUUAAUCACAGUUUCAAUUUCAGUUCUUGUGAUCAGUCCAUUCAUCUUUUCCAUUUCAUCUUGGUUUAGUCUUGGAAGAUUGUACUUUUCUAAGAAUUUGUCCAUUUCUUCCAGGUUUUCCAUUUUAUUGGCAUAUAGUUGCAUAUAGUAGUCUUUGACCCUUUGUAUUUCUCUGAUGUCUGUUGUUACUUCUCCCUUUUUAUUUCUAAUUUUAUUGAUUUGAGUCCUCUCUCUUUUUUGCUUGAUAAGUCUGGCUAGGGGUUUAUCACUUUUGUUGAUCUUUUCAAAGAACCAGCUUUUUGUUUCAUUGAUCUUUUCUAUGGUUUUCUUUGUUUCUAUUUCAUUGAUUUCUGCUCUGGGCUUUAUGAUUUCUUUCCUUCUACUAACUUUAGGUCUUGUCUCUUCUUCUCUCUUGAGCUGCUUUAGAUGUAAAGUUAGCUUGUUUAUUUGAGCUUUUUCUUGUUUCCUGAGGUGGGCUUAGAACAGCUUUUGCUGCAUCCCAUAGGUUUUGGAGUGUCGUACCUUUGUUGUCAUUUGCUGCUAGGUAUUUUUUAAUUUCCUCUUUGAUUUCUUCAGUGAUCCAUUGGUUGUUUAGUAGCAUGUUGUUUAGUCUCCACGUGUUUGUGUUUUUUGCAGUUUUUUUCUUGUUGUUGAUUUCCAGUCAUAGACGUUGUGGUUGGAAAAGAUGCUUGAUAUGGGUUCAGUUUACUUAAAGUUACCAAGGUUGGAUUUGUAGCCCAGGAUAUGAUCAAUCUUAGAGAAUGUUCCAUGUGCACUUGAGAAGAAUAUGUAUUCUGUUGCUUUUGGAUGAAAUGUCCAAUAAAUAUAUAUUAAGUCCAUCUGGUUUAAUUCAUCAUUCAGGGCCUGUGUUUCCUUAUUGAUUUUCUGUCUGGUUGAUCUACCAUUGAUGUAAGUGGGGUGUUAAAGUCCCCCACUAUUAUUGUGUUAUUGUCGAUUUGUCCUUUUAAGGUUGUUAGCAGUUACCUUAUAUAUUGUGGUGAACCUGUGUUGGGUGCGUAGAUAUUUAAAAUUGUUACAUCAUCUUCUUGGAUUGAUGCUUUGAUCAUUAUGUAAUGUCCUUCUUUGUCCCUUAAAAUAUUCUUCAUUUUAAAGUCUAUUUUGUCUGAUAUGAGUAUUGCUACUCCAGCUUUCUUUUGAUCCCUGUUUGCAUGAAAUAUUUUCUUCCAUCCUCUCACUUUCAAUUUGUAUGUGUCCCUAGAAGUGAAGUGGGUCUCUUGAAGACAGCAUAUAUAUGGGUCUUGUUUUUGUAUCCAUUCAGCAAGUCUGUGUCUUUUGGUUGGGGCGUUUAGUCCAUUAACACUUAAGGUAAUUAUUGAUAUGUAUGCUCUUACUGCCAUUUUAUUAAUUACUUUGGAUUUGCUUUUGCUGCUCUUUUUUCUUUCCUUCUUCUCUUGUUCUUUUCUGCCUAGAGAAGUUCCUUUAGUAUUUGUUGUGAGCCUGGUUUAGUGUUGCUGAAUUCUCUCAGCUUUUGCUUCUCUGUGAAGGUUUUGAUUUCUCCUUCAAAUAUGAAUGAGAGCCUUGCUGGGUAGAGUAAUCUUGGUUGGAGCUUUUUUCCUUUCAUCACGUUAAGUUUAUCAUGCCACUCCCUUCUGGCCUGCAGAGUUUCUAUUGAAAAAUCUGCCAAUAACUUUAUUGAGGUUCCCUUGUAUGUUACUUGUUUCUUUUCCCUAGCUGCUUUCAAGAUUUUCUCUUUGUCUUUAAUUUUGGUCAUUUUGAUUAAUAUGUGUCUUGGGGUGUUCCUCCUUGGGUUUAUUUAAUAUGGUACUCAUUGUGCUUCCUGGACUUGAGUGAGUGAUUCCUUCCCAUGUUAGGGAAGUUUUCGGCUGUUAUCUCUUGGAAUAUUUUUUCUGUCUCCUUCUCUCUCUCUUCUCCACAGCUCACAGCAAUGCCAGAUCCUUAACCCACUGAGCAAGGUCAGGGAUCUGAACCAGCAACCUCAUGGUUCCUAGUCAGAUUCAUUUCUGCUGCGCUACGAUGGGAACUCCAAAUGAGUUUUAAAAAAUAUAUCCCACUACCAUAUUUUGCUUCUUAGAGUAGAGGAUGUUAAUCAUAAUUCAGAGUUGUUUCUAUGUCUAAUCCUCAUAUUCUUAGCCAAUAGUUUGGUUGAUCAGCGGAUUAAGAAUCUGGUGUUGCCACAGCUGUGGCUCAGGUUGCAACUGUGGUACAGGUUCGAUCCCUGGCCACGGGUGAGUCCAAAAUAAAUAAGUAAAGUAAAAUGUAAACUAAUUUUCCUUCUGUUCUUUUGGUAUUUAAACGCAUGACAUUGGUCUAGUUCUAAUAUUUUACCUAUAAACUUCUUUACUCUCUUUUGGAUUUUUUUCUUUUUCUUGAUGUUCUGAUACUAGGUCCAAACCUGAGAUUCACUCAAUAUACUGAAUUUUUUUAAAGUAACUCUCUUUUUUUUCCCCUCAAAAUUUCCAUUGGUAGGUUUUCACAAUGAUUUGGGUUUUUUGGGUUUUUGUUUGUUUACCCUUGCUAUUUCCUUUUUUGUUGGAAGAAAUUAAAUAUCAAGUUAUUUCC